rnacentral:tRNA from 1 species
UGGGUUGUAGCUCAGUGGUUGAGCACUUGCCUCGAAUGCAUGAGGCACUGGAUUCCAUCUUCAGCACCACAU